rfam:Hordeum vulgare subsp. vulgare, WGS project CAJW01000000 data, contig: morex_contig_1648266
CUUAUACUCCCUUCAUCCCAAAAUUCUUGUCUUAACUUUGUUUGAAAAUGGAUGUAUCUAAAUACUAAAACUUGACUAGAUAUAUUCAUAUCUAAACAAAUCUAAGACAAAAAUUUUGGGACGGAGGGAGUNNNNN